rnacentral:tRNA from 1 species
GGCUCAUGUGGAUAGCACAGUUGGUUAGUGUGUGGUGUUGAUAAUGCCAAGGUUGCAGGUUCGAUCCCCGUAUGGGACA